AGAGUUUGAUCCUGGCUCAGGAUGAACGCUAGCGGCAGGCCUAAUACAUGCAAGACGAACGGGAAUCGGCAGCAAUGCUGAGGAGAGUGUCGUAAGGGUGCGUAACACGUAUGCAAUUUGCCCGCAACUGGGGCAUAGCUCGGGGAAACUCGAAUUAACUCCCCAUAACAUAUAGAGAUGGCAUCAUUUUUAUAUUAAAUUUCCGGAGGUUGCGGAUAAGCAUGCGCCUGAUUAGUUAGUUGGCGGGGUAACGGCCCACCAAGACGAUGAUCAGUAGGGGAACUGAGAGGUUGAUCCCCCACACUGGCACUGAGAUACGGGCCAGACUCCUACGGGAGGCAGCAGUAGGGAAUAUUGGACAAUGGGUGCAAGCCUGAUCCAGCCAUGCCGCGUGCAGGAAGACGGCCUUCUGGGUUGUAAACUGCUUUUGUCAGGGGAUAAAAAGCUCGUGCGCGAGAAAUUGAAUGUACCUGGCGAAUAAGCCACGGCUAACUACGUGCCAGCAGCCGCGGUAAUACGUAGGUGGCAAGCGUUGUCCGGAUUUAUUGGGUUUAAAGGGUGCGUAGGCGGUCCUGUAAGUCAGUGGUGAAAUACGGCAGCUCAACUGUCGAGGUGCCAUUGAUACUGCGGGACUUGAGUGUUGAUGAGGUAGGCGGAAUUGACGGUGUAGCGGUGAAAUGCUUAGAUAUCGUCAAGAACA
rnacentral:rRNA from 1 species